GACGAACGCUGGCGGCGUGCUUAACACAUGCAAGUCGAACGGAAAGGCCCUGCUUUUGUGGGGUGCUCGAGUGGCGAACGGGUGAGUAACACGUGAGUAACCUGCCCUUGACUUUGGGAUAACUUCAGGAAACUGGGGCUAAUACCGGAUAGGAGCUCCUGCUGCAUGGUGGGGGUUGGAAAGUUUCGGCGGUUGGGGAUGGACUCGCGGCUUAUCAGCUUGUUGGUGGGGUAGUGGCUUACCAAGGCUUUGACGGGUAGCCGGCCUGAGAGGGUGACCGGCCACAUUGGGACUGAGAUACGGCCCGGACUCCUACGGGAGGCAGCAGUGGGGGAUAUUGCACAAUGGGCGGAAGCCUGAUGCAGCAACGCCGCGUGCGGGAUGACGGCCUUCGGGUUGUAAACCGCUUUCGCCUGUGACGAAGCGUGAGUGACGGUAAUGGGUAAAGAAGCACCGGCUAACUACGUG
rnacentral:rRNA from 1 species